UUGACCUCGAAUCAGGUAGGAAUACCCGCU
rnacentral:ncRNA from 3 species